rnacentral:rRNA from 1 species
UGGGGAAUAUUGGACAAUGGGCGCAAGCCUGAUCCAGCCAUGCCGCGUGAGUGAUGAAGGCCCUAGGGUUGUAAAGCUCUUUCACCGGUGAAGAUAAUGACGGUAACCGGAGAAGAAGCCCCGGCUAACUUCGUGCCAGCAGCCGCGGUAAUACGAAGGGGGCUAGCGUUGUUCGGAUUUACUGGGCGUAAAGCGCACGUAGGCGGACUAUUAAGUCAGGGGUGAAAUCCCGGGGCUCAACCCCGGAACUGCCUUUGAUACUGGUAGUCUUGAGUGCGAGAGAGGUGAGUGGAAUUCCGAGGGUAGAGGUGAAAUUCGUAGAUAUUCGGAGGAACACCAGGGGCGGAGGCGGCUCACUGGCUCGAUACUGACGCUGAGGUGCGAAAGCGUGGGGAGCAAACAGG